GCGGGGUAAGCCUGUGUACCGUGAGGGGAACAACCCAGAGCCGGGUUAAGGUCCCAAAGUGUAGAUUAAGUGCGAUUCGAAGGUGGUCUCAAGCCCUAAACAGCCGGGAGGUGAGCUUAGAAGCAGCUACCCUCUAAGAAAAGCGUAACAGCUUACCGGCCGAGGUUUGAGGCGCCCAAAAUGAUCGGGGCUCAAAUCUACCACCGAGACCUGGCCGU
rnacentral:rRNA from 1 species